rnacentral:rRNA from 1 species
GACGAACGCUGGCAGCGUGCCUAAUACAUGCAAGUUGAGCGAUGAAGAUUGGUGCUUGCCCCAAUUUGAAGAGCAGCGAACGGGUGAGUAACGCGUGGGGAAUCUGCCUUUGAGCGGGGGACAACAUUUGGAAACGAAUGCUAAUACCGCAUAAUAACUUUAAACAUAAGUUUUAAGUUUGAAAGAUGCAAUUGCAUCACUCAAAGAUGAUCCCGCGUUGUAUUAGCUAGUUGGUGAGGUAAAGGCUCACCAAGGCGAUGAUACAUAGCCGACCUGAGAGGGUGAUCGGCCACAUUGGGACUGAGACACGGCCCAAACUCCUACGGGAGGCAGCAGUAGGGAAUCUUCGGCAAUGGACGAAAGUCUGACCGAGCAACGCCGCGUGAGUGAAGAAGGUUUUCGGAUCGUAAAACUCUGUUGGUAGAGAAGAACGUUGGUGAGAGUGGAAAGCUCAUCAAGUGACGGUAACUACCCAGAAAGGGACGGCUAACUACGUG